AGAGGAUACAUAUGAGACAUCGUU
rnacentral:siRNA from 1 species